GACAUUCGGACUCCUCGCUUCAGUUUCCCUCUCCCUCUCGCUAGCUAUCUCUAAAUUCAUCCUUAUUUCGACGAUCAAGCUCCUCACCUCAAUUCCUUCCGUUUUCAACCAUUGACAAUGUGUCGGAUAUUGAUUGGAGGAGUAGAAAGCUAUCAAUAUUCAAGCGACAAGUGUUUAAAUAUACGAAUAGCACCUAUAUUGCGACUAUAAAAAGAAGCGUUCGUCUUCUUUUCCCGCGCAAAAUCGCUCGAUUUGUCGAUUGAAUCCCGUUAAGGUCACCACUAAUCUCACCAGAGGCCAGAUAUACCUUUCCUCAAUUUUAAUUUUAAUUUUUUUACUUUUUUUCUUCCGAUGAAAUUGUUGAUAGCACCCUAAAAAUGGGAGCUAUUUUGUCUGUAUAUUGGAACUUAGCUGUAGGAUAAAUUAGGUCUGCUGUGGCUGUGAUUGAAUGCCAGUUUGUAAGAUAGGUCAUUGAGCACAGGGAAAACUCUAGGGGUCCAUAGAUUCUAUUUAUUUAGUUGAUACGUGCAAAUGAUUUCCCUUAGAUGACUGGAAAUUAUGAAUUAAUUGCUAUAUCAAUUCUGUUUUGAUCAAUCUAAUAUCAAUUGUGUAACCAAUAGAUUGAAGAUAUUAAUUAAUUGCUAUAUCAAUUCUAUUAAAUAUAUUUAUAUCAUGACUUCUUAAUAAUGUAAUAGCUACUCCAGACAAAAAUACAGGAGCCCCUUUAACCAAUAACCAUUACUUGAGAAAACCUGUUCAGUAGUCCUCUUAGCAAUAAUUUGACUACAUUUUUUAUUACAUGUAGGGAUUUUUUAAAAAUAUA